CCUUUUCUACAGGAGAUGGAUGUCAUCACAAGUCCAACAUACUGCUUUCAGAUGUACUGGUUUUAGACAACAUUUUAAGAAGGCUGGAAAACAAAACACCCAAAUUAACAAGCGUGAUUAAAACAACAACAACUCCAUGCAUUAAAAAAGUUUGAAGACUAACUUACAGAUGAAAAUGAAGAAGAUGGGAUUCUUUUAGCAUCCUGUUGGAAAAACAACAGCACUGAACAACAUUUCAGACUAGGAGAAUGGAUGAGAACAUGAAAGAAUAGCACUU